AAAUAUAGGCUAAACCUUAAACCAUGGGCCUUCAAAGCCCAAACUGUGAACUACUCACUA
rnacentral:tRNA from 1 species